UAAUACGUAGGGUCCGAGCGUUGUCCGGAAUUACUGGGCGUAAAGAGCUCGUAGGUGGUUUGUCGCGUUGUUCGUGAAAACUCACAACUCAAUUGUGGGCGUGCGGGCGAUACGGGCAGACUGGAGUACUGCAGGGGAGACUGGAAUUCCUGGUGUAGCGGUGGAAUGCGCAGAUAUCAGGAGGAACACCGGUGGCGAAGGCGGGUCUCUGGGCAGUAACUGACGCUGAGGAGCGAAAGCGUGGGGAGCGAACAGGAUUAGAUACCCUGGUAGUCCACGCCGUAAACGGUGGGUACUAGGUGUGGGUUUCCUUCCUUGGGAUCCGUGCCGUAGCUAACGCAUUAAGUACCCCGCCUGGGGAGUACGGCCGCAAGGCUA
rnacentral:rRNA from 1 species